AAAGAAGACAGACUGGAGGGAAAUAACAGAGAUUCUGAGCGGCUGUUAUGUAAACCCGCCUGGUCCUCUGUGUCUCGUCUCAUCGUUUAAAUGGAGGCGGCGUGCUGGCACCAUGACAACACUGGCUGGGAGGCAUGAAGAACAUCCCAUCCUGAUGAAGGGGAGGGCCAGACAGCACACUGAGGGCGGAUGAAGGGAGAGAUGACGGAAGAGAGGAAGAAUGAACACAUGAACUCAUUCAACAUAUUUUUAGGAAAAUGUGUGAUGAUGUAACUAAACUAGAAUUUCUAAUUAUUUAGUUUUGGCAAAUGAAUGGAAGUUUUCUGCAUCCUGUAAUGUCAGUGCAGACGGGAGCUCAAACUUUAAAAAGAAGGUAUCUCACCAUUACAUUUGGAAACAGGAUGUUAUGUUGGUGCUGGAGAACAGGAUCAGCUUUGUCAUGUAUGUGUGUUAAAAAAGUAGAAAAUGAAAUGAGUUUUGUUUUGUAUUGUGCUUUGUAUUAUAACUCCAGAAAGAAGUUGUUCAAUAAAACUAAAAAUGAUUAUU